rnacentral:rRNA from 1 species
AUUGAACGCUGGCGGCAGGCUUAACACAUGCAAGUCGAGCGAGCGGCGGACGGGUGAGUAAUGUCUGGGAAACUGCCUGAUGGAGGGGGAUAACUACUGGAACCGGUAGCUAAUACCGCAUACCAUCAGAUGUGCCCAGAUGGGAGUAGCUAGUGGGUGGGGUAAUGGCUCACCUAGGCGACGAUCCCUAGCUGGUCUGAGAGGGUGACCAGCCACACUGGGACUGAGACACGGCCCAGACUCCUACGGGAGGCAGCAGUGGGGAAUAUUGCGCAAUGGGCGAAAGCCUGAUGCAGCAACGCCGCGUGUGUGAAGAAGGCCUUCGGGUUGUAAAGCACUUUCAGCGAGGAGGCGUUACUCGAAGAAGAAGCACCGGCUAACUCCGUGCCAGCAGCCGCGGUAAUAC